rnacentral:rRNA from 1 species
UACGUAGGGGGCGAGCGUUAAUCGGAAUUACUGGGCGUAAAGCGUGCGCAGGCGGUUUGUUAAGUCUGAUGUGAAAGCCCCGGGCUCAACCUGGGAACUGCAUUGGAAACUGGCAAGCUCGAGUAUGGCAGAGGGGGGUGGAAUUCCGCGUGUAGCAGUGAAAUGCGUAGAGAUGCGGAGGAACACCGAUGGCGAAGGCAGCCCCCUGGGCCAAUACUGACGCUCAGGCACGAAAGCGUGGGGAGCAAACAGG